GACGAACGCUGGCGGCGUGCUUAACACAUGCAAGUCGAACGCUGAACCCGCUUCGGUGGGGGAUGAGUGGCGAACGGGUGAGUAACACGUGGGCAACCUGCCCCCGGCUCUGGGAUAACUCCAAGAAAUUGGGGCUAAUACCGGAUGUGACCGCUGGCCGCAUGGUCUGGUGGUGGAAAGGGUUUCCGGCUGGGGAUGGGCCCGCGGCCUAUCAGCUUGUUGGUGGGGUAGUGGCCUACCAAGGCGACGACGGGUAGCCGGCCUGGGAGGGUGACCGGCCACCAUGGGCCUGAGACACGGACCAGACUCCUACGGGAGGCAGCAGUGGGGAAUAUUGCGCAAUGGGCGGAAGCCUGACGCAGCGACGCCGCGUGGGGGAUGACGGCCUUCGGGUUGUAAACCUCUUUCAGCAGGGACGAAGCGGAAGUGACGGUACCUGCAGAAGAAGCACCGGCCAACUACGUG
rnacentral:rRNA from 1 species